rnacentral:rRNA from 1 species
CCUACGGGAGGCAGCAGUGGGGAAUAUUGGGCAAUGGAGGCAACUCUGACCCAGCAACGCCGCGUGAAUGAUGAAGGUCUUCGGAUUGUAAAGUUCUUUUCUAAGGGAAGAAGAAAGUGACGGUACCUUAGGAAUAAGCCUCGGCUAACUACGUGCCAGCAGCCGCGGUAAUACGUAGGAGGCAAGCGUUAUCCGGAAUGACUGGGCGUAAAGGGUGCGUAGGUGGUUUGACAAGUUGGUAGCGUAACUCCGGAGCUCAACUUCGGAACUACUACCAAAACUGUUGGACUCGAGUGCAGGAGGGGCAACUGGAAUUUCUAGUGUAGCGGUGGAAUGCGUAGAGAUUAGGAGGAACACCAGUGGCGAAGGCGGUCUGCUGGACAGCAACUGACGGUGAGGCGCGAAAGCGUGGGGAGCAAACAGGAUUAGAUACCCGGGUAGUC